CUUUAUUUUGUUUUAUGCUAUUGUUAAGCAUUUACAACCUUACUUAGUUAAGCUCGACAGUUAGGCACCCGUAAUGUGCAAACCACUAGUGCUACCAUAUGAAUCACCUACAUUAUCUUGACUAAUUCAUGUUUCUUCUACAAAACUGUUCGGUUUAAUCGUUUUUACUAACCUACCUAGCACGCAAUGAAACCGAUUAGUCACAAAGAUAUUCUACACCUAGCCAGCCAAGUGUUUCACUAUCUCUAUUACCCCAAAUAUAAAAAUUUUGUGCUAUGUUCGCAAGAUGCAUAAUAUUAUCUCUAACUGUUCU